rnacentral:rRNA from 1 species
UACGAAGGGGGCUAGCGUUGCUCGGAAUGACUGGGCGUAAAGGGCGCGUAGGCGGCCACCGCAAGUCGACUGUGAAAUCUCCGGGCUUAACCCGGAAAGGUCAGCCGAUACUGCGGGGCUAGAGUGCAGAAGGGGCAACUGGAAUUCUCGGUGUAGCGGUGAAAUGCGUAGAUAUCGAGAGGAACACCUGCGGCGAAGGCGGGUUGCUGGGCUGACACUGACGCUGAGGCGCGAAAGCGUGGGGAGCAAUCCGG